rnacentral:rRNA from 1 species
CCCUUAGAUGUUCGGAGCUGCACGCGCGCUACGCUGAAGGAAGCAGCGUGUUAGAGCACCUGGCCCGCGAGGGCUGGGUAAUCCGGUGAAUGUCCUUCGUGAUUGGGAUAGGGACUUGUAAUUAUUUCCCUUGAACGAGGAAUACCUAGUAAGUGCGAGUCAUCAGCUUGCGCUGACUACGUCCCUGCCCCUUGUACACACCGCCCGUCGCACCUACCGAUUGGAUGGUCCGGUGAAGCCUCGGGAUUGUGGUUCUUGCCGCUUUAUUGUAGCGUGACCGCGAGAACUUGUCUAAACCUUAUCAUCUAGAGGAAGGUGAAGUCGUAACA